GACAGAGGGGGCAAGCGUUGCUCGGAAUUACUGGGCGUAAAGGGCGCGUAGGCGGGAUGGCAAGUCGGUCGUGAAAUCCCUCGGCUCAACCGAGGAACGUCGAUCGAUACUGCUGUUCUUGAGGAUUGCAGAGGAGACUGGAAUUCCCGGUGUAGCGGUGAAAUGUGUAGAGAUCGGGAGGAACACCGGUGGCGAAGGCGGGUCUCUGGGCCGAUACUGACGCUGAUGCGCGAAAGCUAGGGGAGCGAACAGG
rnacentral:rRNA from 1 species